CGAAUGGAUUAAGAGCUUGCUCUUAUGAAGUUAGCGGCGGACGGGUGAGUAACACGUGGGUAACCUGCCCAUAAGACUGGGAUAACUCCGGGAAACCGGGGCUAAUACCGGAUAACAUUUUGAACCGCAUGGUUCGAAAUUGAAAGGCGGCUUCGGCUGUCACUUAUGGAUGGACCCGCGUCGCAUUAGCUAGUUGGUGAGGUAACGGCUCACCAAGGCAACGAUGCGUAGCCGACCUGAGAGGGUGAUCGGCCACACUGGGACUGAGACACGGCCCAGACUCCUACGGGAGGCAGCAGU
rnacentral:rRNA from 1 species